rnacentral:rRNA from 1 species
UAGGGAAUCUUAGGCAAUGGACGAAAGUCUGACCGAGCAACGCCGCGUGAGUGAAGAAGGUUUUCGGAUCGUAAAACUCUGUUGUUAGAGAAGAACAAGGACGUUAGUAACUGAACGUCCCCUGACGGUAUCUAACCAGAAAGCCACGGCUAACUACGUGCCAGCAGCCGCGGUAAUACGUAGGUGGCAAGCGUUGUCCGGAUUUAUUGGGCGUAAAGCGAGCGCAGGCGGUUUCUUAAGUCUGAUGUGAAAGCCCCCGGCUCAACCGGGGAGGGUCAUUGGAAACUGGGAGACUUGAGUGCAGAAGAGGAGAGUGGAAUUCCAUGUGUAGCGGUGACAUGCGUAGAUAUAUGGAGGAACACCAGUGGCGAAGGCGGCUCUCUAGUCUGUAACUGACGCUGAGGCUCGAAAGCGUGGGGAGCAAACAGG